rnacentral:rRNA from 1 species
GACAGAGGGUGCAAACGUUGCUCGGAAUCACUGGGCGUAAAGGGCGCGUAGGCGGCCUGUUAAGUCAGACGUGAAAUCCCUCGGCUCAACCGGGGAACUGCGUCUGAUACUGGCGGGCUUGAAUUCGGGAGAGGGAUGUGGAAUUCCAGGUGUAGCGGUGAAAUGCGUAGAUAUUAGGAAGAACACCAGUGGCGAAGGCGGCUCACUGGCCCGGUACUGACGCUGAGGCGCGAAAGCGUGGGGAGCAAGCAGG